GAUGCAAAUGCCGAAGGAAUUACAGCCUAUCACGCUCGUGGUCGCGGGUUCGAGUCCCGUCUCUGCCGUAUCAAUGGCAGAGUAGCUCAGUUAGGUAGAGCACGAUUAUUUCUUCAUCUUUUGUUGCAACGUG
rnacentral:Y_RNA from 1 species